rnacentral:misc_RNA from 1 species
GAUGAAGAACGUAGCGAAAUGCGAUAAGUAGUGUGAAUUGCAGAAUUCAGUGAAUCAUCGAAUCUUUGAACGCACAUUGCGCCCUUUGGUAUUCCUUAGGGCAUGCCUGUUCGAGCGUCAUUUAAACCUUCAAGCUAAGCUUGGUGUUGGGUGACUGUCCGCCUCACGGCGGACUCGCCUCAAAAUUAUUGGCGGCCGGUACAUUGGCUUCGAGCGCAGCAGAAACGCGAACUCGGGCCCGUCGUAUUGGCUCCCAGAAGCUAUCUUCACAAUUUUGACCUCGGAUCAGGUAGGGAUGCCCGCUGAACUUAAGCAUAUCAAUAAGCGGAGGA